AACGCACGAGACCUGCGGACCUGCGGAGGGAUCAUUAAUGAGAAGCUGCCCCUCGUGGGUAGACCUCCCACCCUCUGUGAACUUACCUUUGUUGCAUUGGCAGGCCCGUCCUCUGGACCGCCGGCUUCGGCUGGCCCGUGCCUGCCAGAGGAUUCCAAACCCUGUCUGUCAGUGUUGUCUGAGUCUAUAUGAAAUCGUUAAAACUUUUAACAAUGGAUCUCUAGAUCGGAAGAGCACACG
rnacentral:misc_RNA from 1 species